AAAAAAAGCCACUAAGCUUCAGUCUAGAAUUGACCGUACCGCAAACCGACACAGGUGGGCAGGAUGAAAAUUCUAAGGCGCUUGAGAGAACUCAGGAGAAGGAACUCGGCAAAUUAACACCGUAACUUCGGGAGAAGGUGUGCCCCGGUAGGUUGUAGCGCUUCGCGCGCGAAGGCCGAUGGGGUUGCAGUGAAAUGGUGGCUGCGACUGUUUAAUAAAAACACAGCUCUCUGCAAACACGAAAGUGGACGUAUAGGGAGUGACGCCUGCCCGGUGCCGGAAGGUUAAUUGAUGGGGUGCAAGCUCUUGAUCGAAGCCCCGGUAAACGGCGGCCGUAACAAUAACGGUCCUAAGGUAGCGAAAUUCCUUGUCGGGUAAGUUCCGACCUGCACGAAUGGCGUAACGAUGGCCACACUGUCUCCUCCUGAGACUCAGCGAAGUUGAAAUGUUUGUGAAGAUGCAAUCUCCCCGCGGCAAGACGGAAAGACCCCAUGAACCUUUACUGUAGCUUUGCAUUGGACUUUGAACCGGUCUGUGUAGGAUAGGUGGGAGACUAUGAAACCGGGACGCUAGUCUCGGUGGAGUCAACCUUGAAAUACCACCCUGGUUUGUUUGAGGUUCUAACCUUGAUCCGUGAAUCCGGAUCGGGGACCGUGCAUGGUGGGCAGUUUGACUGGGGCGGUCUCCUCCCAAAAGGUAACGGAGGAGUACGAAGGUACGCUUAGGGCGGUCGGACAUCGCCCAUAAAGUGCAAUGGCAAAAGCGUGCUUGACUGCGAGACCCACAAGUCGAGCAGGUGCGAAAGCAGGUCAUAGUGAUCCGGUGGUUCUGUAUGGAAGGGCCAUCGCUCAACGGAUAAAAGGUACUCUGGGGAUAACAGGCUUAUACCGCCCAAGAGUUCAUAUCGACGGCGGUGUUUGGCACCUCGAUGUCGGCUCAUCUCAUCCUGGGGCUGUAGCCGGUCCCAAGGGUAUGGCCGUUCGCCAUUUAAAGAGGUACGUGAGCUGGGUUUAAAACGUCGUGAGACAGUUUGGUCCCUAUCUGCCGUGGGCGCUGGAAAUUUGAAGGGGGCUGCUCCUAGUACGAGAGGACCGGAGUGGACGAACCUCUGGUGUACCGGUUAUGACGCCAGUCGUAUCGCCGGGUAGCUAUGUUCGGAAGAGAUAAACGCUGAAAGCAUCUAAGCGUGAAACUCGCCUUAAGAUAAGAUUUCCCGGAGUCUUGAACUCCUUGAAGGGUCGUCGAAGACCACGACGUUGAUAGGUCAGGUGUGGAAGCGCAGUAAUGCGUUAAGAUAACUGAUACUAAUUGCCCGUACGGCUUGAC
rnacentral:rRNA from 1 species